GAGAGAAUGGCAUAUCUAACAGGCUUUUACGUUCUUUAUUUAGUUCGUAUGUUUGUUUGUGCUUAAGUUGGUUAAGCUUCUUUGUUAG
rnacentral:tRNA from 1 species